rnacentral:rRNA from 1 species
UACGAAGGGGGCUAGCGUUGUUCGGAAUCACUGGGCGUAAAGCGCACGUAGGCGGAUUUCUAAGUCAGGGGUGAAAUCCUGGAGCUCAACUCCAGAACUGCCUUUGAUACUGGGAAUCUCGAGUCCGGGAGAGGUGAGUGGAACUGCGAGUGUAGAGGUGAAAUUCGUAGAUAUUCGCAAGAACACCAGUGGCGAAGGCGGCUCACUGGCCCGGUACUGACGCUGAGGUGCGAAAGCGUGGGGAGCAAACAGG